GGCACGGUAGCUUAGUUGGUAAAGCACUUGUCUAGCGAAUAAGGGUCGUGAGUUCAAAUCUCACCUGAGCUG
rfam:Aedes albopictus isolate Foshan contig125926, whole genome shotgun sequence.